rnacentral:lncRNA from 1 species
UUUUCUGUGGAAGCCACCUGGAAUUUUUUUCAGGAGUCUCCUUAAGAUCUUUUGAAUUCCCUUCUGUAGGUGAUCUCAGAACCUUUGUUCUCUAUUAUUAUCAAUCCUUAUAUGCCUUCUUUGGGUUUGUUCGCGUGAGUUCUGACCUUUAUUUUAGUGGGCCAAUUUGUCUUUCCACCUGUUCUUUCCAUUCUAAUAAGGAAUAAUCUAGAAUAAUUCACAAAUCUAAAUCAGCUAAUUGUUCCU